rnacentral:rRNA from 1 species
CACGGGGUUGCGAGCGUUGUCCGGAAUUAUUGGGCGUAAAGAGCUCGUAGGCGGCUUGUCGCGUCUGCUGUGAAAUCCCGGGGCUCAACCCCGGGCCUGCAGUGGGUACGGGCAAGCUAGAGUGAGGUAGGGGAGGAUUGGAAUUCCUGGUGUAGCGGUGGAAUGCGCAGAUAUCAGGAGGAACACCAAUGGCGAAGGCAGAUCUCUGGGCCGCUACUGACGCUGAGGAGCGAAAGCAUGGGGAGCGAACAGGAUUAGA